GAUGAAGAACGUAGAGAAAUGCGAUAAGUAAUGUGAAUUGCAGAAUUCAGUGAAUCAUCGAAUCUUUGAACGCACAUUGCGCCCGCCAGUAUUCUGGCGGGCAUGCCUGUUCGAGCGUCAUUUCAACCAUCAAGCCCCAGGCUUGUGUUGGAGCCCUGCGGCUGCCGCAGCCUCCCAAAACCAGUGGCGGGCUCGCUAUCACACCGAGUGCAGUAGUUUACUCUUCGCUCAGGGCGUGUGGCGGGUGCUAGCCGUAAAACCCCCAACUUCUCAAGGUUGACCUCGGAUCAGGUAGGAAUACCCGCUGAACUUAAGCAUAUCAAUAAGCGGAGGA
rnacentral:misc_RNA from 1 species